GUGCCAGCCGCCGCGGUAAUACGUAGGGGGCAAGCGUUAUCCGGAUUUAUUGGGCGUAAAGCGCGCGUAGGCGGCUUGUUAAGUCAGGCGUGAAAUCUGGGGGCUCAACCCGCAGCUUGCGUCUGAAACUGGCAGGCUUGAGUCUGGUAGAGGAAAGUGGAAUUCCUAGUGUAGCGGUGAUAUGCGCAGAUAUUAGGAGGAACACCAGUGGCGAAGGCGGCUUUCUGGGCCACGACUGACGCUAAGGCGC
rnacentral:rRNA from 1 species